GCCGGUGUGUUGGAAUGGUAGACGAGGCAGAUUCAAAAUCUGUUGUGGGUUGUCCACGUGUGGGUUCAAGUCCCACCACCGGUACCA
rnacentral:tRNA from 1 species